GAGGAAGACCGUCUAAAUAAUGGUGUGACAUUUGCAUUGAAGGUUGGCAAUAUUAAUAGAUGAUUCUCCGUGCCUACUAAAAUUUCAAUUUUGGAAAAGGCCUCGAACAAGGUGCUAUAUC